GAUGAACGCUAGCGGGAGGCUUAAUACAUGCAAGUCGAACGGUAAGGUCUAGCUUGCUAGAUACACGAGUGGCGAACGGGUGAGUAACGCGUACACAAUCUACCCUUGAGUGGGGGAUAGCCCUUGGAAACGAGGAUUAAUACCCCAUAGUAUUGUUUUUAUUAUGUAUGAACAAUUAAAACUCAGGUGCUCAAGGAUGAGUGUGCGUCCCAUUAGCUUGUUGGUAAGGUAACGGCUUACCAAGGCGACGAUGGGUAGGGGGCGUGAGAGCGUGACCCCCCACACGGGUACUGAGACACGGACCCGACUCCUACGGGAGGCAGCAGUAAGGAAUAUUGGACAAUGGGCGAAAGCCUGAUCCAGCCAUCCCGCGUGCAGGAUGAAGGCCCUAUGGGUUGUAAACUGCUUUUUUAUGGGAAGAAAAGCUUUGAUUUAUCAGAGCCUGACGGUACCAUACGAAUAAGCACCGGCUAACUCCG
rnacentral:rRNA from 1 species